GACAGAGGGUGCAAACGUUGUUCGGAAUUACUGGGCGUAAAGCGCGUGUAGGCGGUUUCCUAAGUCAGGUGUGAAAGCCCCGGGCUCAACCCGGGAAGUGCACUUGAAACUGGGAGGCUAGAGUACUGGAGAGGUUGGUGGAAUUCUCGGUGUAGAGGUGAAAUUCGUAGAUAUCGAGAGGAACACCGGUGGCGAAGGCGGCCAACUGGACAGAUACUGACGCUGAGACUCGAAAGCGUGGGGAGCAAACAGG
rnacentral:rRNA from 1 species